ACUCAACUGAAAACGGCCUCUCUCUGUUUCAACGAGAGAGUGUUUCUAUGGGAACCUAGAGGAGACUGGUGUUUGUGGUACUGUGUUUCUGUGCAGAUAUGGAGCUUAGUGGGAAGAUCGUUGGGCCCAUGUGAAGUCUGGAGUUUUUCACUGAUGCAAUUACACUAUGACCAGAAUUUCUGAAGUUUUUGGUCUUUCUGUAAUAGAUAUGAAAUAGCUGCUAAAACAGUGAGUAUCGUUUGUAUUUAAAGGAAGAAGGAGAAAAAAAGGACAAAAAGUCAGUAAUU
rnacentral:lncRNA from 1 species